rnacentral:lncRNA from 1 species
CUAACCCCAAAUCAAAAAUCACAAAUCACAAGAAUAACAAAGCAAAAAACCAAGUCCGCAACACAAUCCAUAAUCUCAACGGCGAUUCGUCUCGAUCCCUCUGCAACUACACAAUCUGAGCAAUCUUAGCGACUAUUCCUCUCGAUUCCUCUGCAACUACACAAUCUCAGCGGCGAUUCCUCUAGCAAAACCCUUCAAUACUCGAGCGUAGAAGAUUUGUCGGUGAGUUUUCGAAUUAUAAGAAUUUUCCGGUGAGUUUUCGAAUUAUAAGGUUAAGAAUUAAAAACUGUGAAUUGGUAACCUAUCUAUCUUUGUCCAAAAAAUGGAUACUAUGAUUGCUUGGUUCACAUAAAAGAAGAUUGGGUAUAUGUGCUAUUAAUCUUGUUUUGUGUUUGGAUUUUGCUAUUUAUGUUGGGAAUCUCAGUGUUUACCCCUGUAAAAUAUUUUAUUUGUUUUUAAAUAGUACUGAAAACAAGUAAAAAAUGAUUUUUUUUACUCGGAGUUGCAUGACUGAUUUUUUGUGUUUUUAAUUGACCAAGUAUAUUUGGCCAAGUACCAUGAUUGAUUACUUAGAACAUCAAUAUCAUUGAUAGCAUAUGCACAAAAGAGAUACCUGCUUGAAUUUUUUUGAUAAGAACAGUGUUUGGUAAUUAAGCAAGGAUCUUUGAUGAUAGAAUGCCAGUAUUUGCAAUUGGAUGUAAAUCGCAACAGAGACUUUAUGCAAGGUAAUUUUUCAAGAAUCUGCAUUAAAAUAUCUAUGUAGUAAGGAGUAAUUCGCAACAACCAUUGUUAG